GGCUGGCUCGUCAAUUUGACAACAAGAUUUGCUGGCUCAGUCAAUUGAACAACAAGAGAUUUGCUGGCUCAUAGUCAAUUUGACAACGAGAGAUUUGCUGGCUCCAGUCAAUUUGACAAUGAGAUUUGCUGAGCUCCAAGUCAAUUUGACAACAAGAUUU
rnacentral:lncRNA from 1 species